AAGAAACAUGGCUCAUGGUGAUGUUUAUGAUUUCUUCCAUAUGGUAAAUGCUUUUUCAAAACCAUGAGAUGAUAUUUUCUGCAUAGUUUAAUAAGACACAGAUAAAUACUGAUGAGAAAGGGAUAUAGAAUACAAACAAUAUGAUCAGGGCUAUGAAAGGCACAUCCUGCAUCUCUCUGGAUUUAAGGGUUUUUCUAAACAUAUUUCAUGCCUUCCUCCACACUUCAGGUUCCUCAUUCCCACUGAGCAGCAGUUCUCAUCACAGCUUAUGUAAUUAAUCAUUAUAAAAUGUAUUUCAAACAAAACCAAGAAAAGUCCAAAGGAAACUUCUGCAAUAUCACAGAAGACAAAAGUCAGGAACGUUAUGAUGUACUCAACCCAGCGCUCUGACUUGUUCAGAUAUGAGAUUGCCAAGGUAGAAGAGAAAAGGAUGCCUCUGCUAUGUUUGAGCAAGAACCUGGAUAUUGAGGGAAUGGAGUCCCUCUUCUUCCGAUUAGCUGUAUUGCUCUUUGUCCAUUUUGGGGUUCCAGGUAAGACAAAGUGAAGCAAAGCUUCCUACACAAAUCUCUUUUCAAUACUUUCAGCAAACAGGGUCUUCCAGACUUUCCUAGGUUGAUUCACAAAGACUGUGAAUUUUACUUUCCCACAGUGUUAUUGAUUGAUAAAAAUGAGCAAAAGAGCUGCUACUAACGUCGAUGUCUUUAGCUUUAUUAAAAAACCAAAAUAACAAACUCUCAAUACUUUUGGUUAUGUGAUUUUCCUAGAUGCAGGAUGCAAGUUCUCCCAUGCCUAAAAUUCACCACCAUGGCUUUUCCCCACAGUGAUAACAAGUCACCAAGAAGUUUGUUGUAAAUCACGCAAAAUUUAAAAAGCAUUAGAAUUGGCACAAAUUUAAUGUUUGCAAAGGCAGCUUAAAUCCCUUUACACAAAGGGAGGAAUUAAGUGAAGCUCAGCAAGGCAUGCUGCCUUGCUGAAUGGUUCCUAUUAAGUUGUCUUUGUUCUUUUAGCUUGCAUGAUCCUUGUAGGUGUAGAAGUAUACAUUGGGCUUGACACUGUAUAAGUCAGGGCUCUGAAACUGCCAGUGUACAUUACUUGCAUUUUUCAGUCUGACAUGUUCAAUUUCUGUGAAACAUGCUAACAUGGAUCAAUGGAAACCUCUGUGGGCUGAGAUCCCCACAGGAAAAUUCUCCCUGUAGAGAAAGCACUCACACUCAUAUAAACCUGGCAGAUGUGGCAUCAUCUCCUACGCUUCCUUAAAGGAUAUGCAGGAGGGACUCAGCCACAGCAAGGCUCCUCACACUUGACUCUUGAAGGAUAAAAUUUCCUGAGGAUCUCGGAGGUAGAAGGAAGAGACAUCUUCUGCAGACCUAGACCAGUGUGUUUUGGUGCUGCAUGGCUGAAAUAUAAUUUUUUGAAUUGGUCCCCUUUUCUGCUGAAUCCAUAUGGAACACAGCACACACAAUAGAGAUUAAGGGGAUUUUAAAGCACUCUUUCAUAAACCUAGGAAUCACAGACAGGUACCAUGAAGCAGUAUCUAAAACACCAGUUAUAGAACCCAGUGAAAAAGAGAGCAAGUGUCACUUGGUCACAAUGACAGGAUGCACAAUAACUUUUUUCUUCUGGUAGAUGAAGUAAGGUAAGUAAAACUAAUGUCACCCCCCAACUUGCUCCUGCUGAAAGCUGGCAUGAGUCUGUACUGCCUGUAAAUGUCAAAAUUUUCUAGUCAAGCUAGCUACCAAUUUCAUACAGUUAAUUGAAUGUUUACAAAACAAAGGAUCCUUCUGUAAAAGGCUCGGUAAUUCAAGAGUGCCUCUGCAGUCUGUUAUUAAAAAAUGUACCAUGAAAUAAACUAAGGGCUUUAAGCUGACA
rnacentral:lncRNA from 1 species